UACAGAGGGGGCAAGCGUUAUUCGGAAUUAUUGGGCGUAAAGGGCGCGUAGGCGGCUUGGCACGUGGAUGGUGAAAUCCCUCGGCUUAACCGAGGAACUGCCGUCCAAACUGCUUUGCUUGAGGCCGGGAGAGGCGAGUGGAAUUCCCAGUGUAGCGGUGAAAUGCGUAGAUAUUGGGAGGAACACCAGUGGCGAAGGCGGCUCGCUGGACCGGUUCUGACGCUGAUGCGCGAAAGCGUGGGGAGCAAACGGG
rnacentral:rRNA from 1 species